AAAAAAAUUCUGCUCACACGCCGACUCGCACGCACGCCGACUCGCCGCCGUCACCAUCAGUAGCCGCGCUGCGCGGGAGCGGGAGGAGGCGGCGCCUGCGCACGCGUGCAAGCUCCCGUCCAGAUCCGCGUUGAGGAGAGGUGCUCCCCGUCGUCCAGGUCCGCUGGGCAGAGGAGAUCCAGCGGCUGGCUGGCUCGCCGACGCGAUUCUUGCUGCCGCCGCUCACCGCGUGGGCACGCUCACCGUCGCCGCGCACUGCUCCUGGGCGAGAAAGACAAGCUCCGGCUGACCGGCUGCACCGUAAAGACUGUCGCGUCGCUAUCGGCCGUCCAAUCACCUGCUGUUGGUACAGAGCAAGAGCGCAGGGUGGGCCGGGGUGUGGAGAGACACGAGCAAGAGCGCCGGGUUGCUGCUGGUACAGAGCAAGAGCAAGAGCGCAGGGUGCGCCCUCUCGGCCCUCUCAACAACCCCAGAAGCAGCUGGCCGGCAGGCAAGCAGCGAGAUGUCAAGGUUUGGAACUAGAGCUCGUCGAUGGUGGGAUGAAGAGGACGAAUCUGACUAAAUUACUAAGCAUGGCAAUUCAUAGUUCUAGGUAGUUAGUGAUUUACUAAGCAUGUAAUCCCUAGUUCGGAUGUGUAGGUUUGCAGGAAAGACUAAAUUAUGUAAUAUUAAUUUAACUAUGCCAGCUUCUGUUGUGUAUCAGGAAACUUCUCUCUUCUUAUAUGCAAGCAGAAAUUCCCUUUUAUUA